AUCGAACGCUGGCGGCAUGCCUUACACAUGCAAGUCGAACGAUAACAUCCGGCCAAGUGCCGACCGGGUGCGUAACGCGUGGUAAUCCGCCAUAACGUUCGCAAUCACUCGCCGUAACGGGUCCAAAUACCGGCUAAUACCUCAGGACCACAGUUUUUGCACGCUUGGAUGGGUCCGCCCUGGAUUAGCUAGAUGGUAGGGUAAAAGCCUACCAAGGCGACGAUCCAUAGCUGGUCCGAGAGGAUGAUCAGCCACACUGGGACUGAGACACGGCCCAGACUCCUGCGGGAGGCGGCAGUGGGGAAUAUUGGACAAUGGGCGAAAGCCAGAUCCAGCAAUGCCGCGUGAGUGAUGAAGGCCUUAGGGUUGUAAAGCUCUUUUACCCGGGAUGAUAAUGACGGUACCGGGAGAAUAAGCUCCGGCUAACUCCGUG
rnacentral:rRNA from 1 species